rnacentral:rRNA from 1 species
AAAGCAACUUUAAAUGCAUCUGAUCUUGUCUGUUUUCUGAAGCUAAGCAUGAGUGGAUCUGGUUACGGCUUGGAUGGGAAACCGCCAAGGACUUCCAGGAUCUUUA